UUGCCCAAUGAUUAUAGCAAGACGCGUUAUUAUGAGGACUAAUGCUGGAACUCUUUCUUCUUCUCCUCCUCCUCCUCCUUUGUCCCUUCCUCUUUCACCUUACUCCCCUCACUUUCCUUAGGGUAUCCAGCGUCCUAUGAGCAAGACUGAGAUAUGAGGGCAA
ensembl:snoRNA small nucleolar RNA, C/D box 97